rnacentral:rRNA from 1 species
UCCCCUAGUAACUGCGAGUGAAGCGGGAAAAGCUCAAAUUUAAAAUCUGGUGGUCUUUGGCCAUCCGAGUUGUAAUUUAGAGAAGCGUCUUCCGCGCUGGACCGUGCACAAGUCUCCUGGAAUGGAGCGUCAUAGAGGGUGAGAAUCCCGUCUUUGGCAUGGACCCCAGGGCUUCUGUGAUGCGCUCUCAAAGAGUCGAGUUGUUUGGGAAUGCAGCUCAAAAUGGGUGGUGAACUCCAUCUAAAGCUAAAUAUUGGCGAGAGACCGAUAGCGAACAAGUACCGUGAGGGAAAGAUGAAAAGCACUUUGGAAAGAGAGUGAAACAGUACGUGAAAUUGUUGAAAGGGAAACGCUUGAAGUCAGUCGCGUCGACCGAGACUCAGCCUUGCCUUGGCUUGGUGUACUUCUCGGCUGACGGGUCAGCAUCAAUUUCGAUCCUUGGAUAAUGGCAAGGGAAAGGUAGCACCUUUACAGGUGUGUUAUAGUCCUCUGUCGCAUGCAAGGGUUGGGAUUGAGGAACUCAGCACGCGCCUUGUCGGUGUCGGGGCCUUUUGGCCUACGUACGUGCUUAGGAUGCUGGCAUAAUGGCUUUAAACGACCCGUCUUGAAACACGGACCAAGGAGUCUAACAUGCACGCGAGUGUUCGGGUGGAAAACCCGUGCGCGUAAUGAAAGUAAAAGUUGGGACCUCUGUCGUGGAGGGCACCGACGCCCGGACCAGACCUUCUGUGACGGCUCUGCGGUAGAGCGUGUAUGUUG